UAUAUUGCCUUUUGUUUUUCCUCCUCUAUUCUAUGAGGCUUCAUUUGGUUCCGAAAUUAGUAGCAACUAAUUAUACCGGGGAUAACUACAAGUAUGAGUUUUUAUAAGAAUAAGGGUAUUUUUUUGUUUAGAUGAAAAUGUGAAUAUAAACUGAAACUAGAAAAAUUGUGUUUGGAUGGUUAUUGGGAAUAAGAGGAAUAGUUGUUAGUUAUAAAUAGAAAAUAAUAAUAUUACCCCUAUA
rnacentral:lncRNA from 1 species